CUCGUGAUAUAGGUACAUGGUGUCCGAGAAAAUGGGGAAAGUGUCCAGGAUUCAGAUGUCGCGGACCCAAACUACUGAGAUAUGAACAAAUGUUAAAAUACUUAGAAAAUAUGGCUAAAUAAAUAAUACUAUCCUUAAUAUACUUAGUAGACUAAAAAAUAAGUUAAGCUUUCACAUAAUGACUUCAUUGAAUAUAUAAUUGUAAUUUAAUUUUAAUAAUAUGCUAUUUAGUAAAAAAGAAAAAACACUAGCUUUACAUAAUUGAAACUAUAUUAGGUUCUUAUAAAUUUCGUAUCUGAUAUGUUACUUAAAUGGUUAUGUAGAUGGUAAUUUGCUAAUACUGGCUGCUGAAAUAGUUUUGUGCUCUGUGAUUUGUGCUUUGGAGUUAAAAUGGGCAGAGUAAAAGAAGUCGAGGUUGCUGGUGAUUGUCCAUGCUAACAUCAAUUAAGAUUACUAAAUACAACGACAAACAUUUUUAUGUAUUUUUUUACAUUGCUGCCCAGUUUCAAAGUUUACUUCGUUUGUCAUUACAAUGAUAUUUAUGUAAUAAGCUUAAAAAAUGUAAUAUAACAGUAAAUGUAAGAUAAAUUUCCCUAUAUUAAUCGAUAAAUGAUAAAAAUUUGAAUGUAGAUAUUACCUAUUAAAUAACGUUCUCGGUAUGAAGUAACAACAAUAACAAAUUUAGCUUGUUUAAUAUAAAACCUUCAAUUAAUGUCAAAUCUUGUCAUUUGUUAAUUAGUUGUCAAUAUUUUCCCACCAGGGAACAUUGUGUGUUACUAUUCAGUGAAUGCAAACCGUUACGUGGAGGAGAAGAUUCUUCAUUGAGUACACCAACUUUCCCAGGAGAGAACAGUUAAAAGAAAAGUUAAAACAGACCUCAAUGCACAAACUUAGUGGAAGGAAGAAAAAAUGCAAAACAGUGUACCACCACACUUCUCCAGGGUCGCAAGGGAGUCUUUACAUACUGCUUUUGUAAGCAGAUGGAUUGUGCCGGACGGUCCAAUCAAGUGGGCACCCUAUUCUCACGAUCUAACCGUUCCUGAGUUUUGUAUAUGAGGAUGUGUAAAGGGACUUUGCUAAGGCUAAGAAAUUAUCACCUAAACGGUAAAAAAGGCCUUUAGCAACAAUCAAAAUGGACGUUAUACACAGAAGCUAAAUUAUCAUUUAAAAAUUAGAAUCAAUUUUUUCAAUUGUUAUAAAUACUGAUAGUGAGGUUAUCGUUACUGUUGUUACUCAUUUAAUAGUAAUGUUUAAUGCGCAGAGUAAAUAUUUUUCUAGGCACGACAACAGCGCAAAUCAUUUGACGCUAAAGCGAUACAGCAAUUAUUGUCAAAUUUUCAUCAAUUAUAUGAUGAUGCGUAGAUACGCUUUUCAUAUUUUAAAUCACUAGAUUUUAUUCGCUCAUUUCAUUAAAUCAGUUUUGGCAAUAACGCUGUAAUACUAAUUAGCUUGAUCCCACAAAGUCGUCAUUCUUUGGGAAGCAAAAAUAGCGUUGUUGAAAUAUCAGUAAGAAUUAAUUUUGCUCCACGUUGUUAAACUAAAAGUUUAGGCUUAGUUAUUGAUUCACAACUAAAAUUUUCUAGCCAUAUAUCGUAUAUUCUUAAAGGAUCUUAUUUUGCUUUAAAAGACGUCUUAUCUUGAUCGAUCUUGCUACUCUCUUAUUUUAUAAAAUUUUAAUCACUGUCGAGAUUCGUAUCGAGCUCAAAAGAUGCGGAGUUAGAUUUAUUUUUGGUAUGAAAAGAUAUAGUCGAGUAUCUCACAAGAAAUUAAUUGGCUUAAUACGUCCAAUAGAAUAAAAUUCCUACUUAUCUAUAUAGUAAAAUUACUUUUUUAUAUCAAAUAAACUUCCACAGGCUACUGUAAGGCUUUU